rnacentral:rRNA from 1 species
UACGGAAGGGGCGAGCGUUGUUCGGAAUCAUUGGGCGUAAAGGGCGUGUAGGUGGUUCUGUAUGUCUACCGUGAAAGCGUACGGCUCAACCGUAUUUAGUCGGUAGAAACUGCAGGACUUGAGGCUGGGAGGGGCUGGUGGAAUUCCCCGUGUAGCGGUGAAAUGCGUAGAGAUGGGGGAGGAACACCGAUGGCGAAGGCAAUCCCCUGGGCCUGCACUGACGCUCAUGCACGAAAGCGUGGGGAGCAAACAGG